UCCAACUCUCGCUGACCAUUCCCAGGUUCUUGCAGAAACGCUUGAACCUCAGAGAGGGAAGGAAUCCCAGGGCAGAAAUAAGUUUGGGUGCAUUUCCAGCUUUCUGUUUCUGCUUGUUUGCUUUUGCAGCCGCUCACUCCGAAUGCGCGUGGAGCGCCCCAUAGCACCACCGCCCUCCGCGCGCUGGCGCGCACACGCCCCCCGCCAGCCUGGGCGCCCGGCUGCGAACCCCGGGUCUGCAAACUUGAGGAUCUCCCCUCUUCGCGCUCGCCAGACAACUUAGCGAGCACCUCACGCUCCUGUACCCCCUUCCUCCAGCCCUUCCUCCAAAUCCCAAGCCCACCGUCGCGUUCCAGAGAAGGUGCCCACGUCGCCCCCAGAUCCAGGAGCGCCCCCUCUCCACCCCCGGGGCUUCCCAGGUCGCUCACUCCUCCCGCACCCCCUCAGCUCUGCGGGGGACCGAAAACACACCCCGUCUGGGGCAGCCAGGGCCGAAACUGUCAAGAGGAGAAAAGGUAAAGCGGGAGGAGGGUGGCCAUAAACGGAUUCUUUUUUCUUCUUAAAAGGACACUGCCGCUUUAAAAGUUUCUUUCCCGGGCCCCCACUCUCCGGUUCUCCGUAUUUUGGGGGAGCGUAUUUAAUUUGGACUACGCGGCUUUCCUCCUCUCUUCGCAGAAAAAUCAAAGCCAGGGGAGAUCGCUGGAGAUGGCGAGCUCCGAGACUCCCUCUAUCUUCUGUUUUCAGAGCAACUCUAUGCCCAGAGACAGAAACGAGGAUCAGCGAGAUGAUCCUGUGCCUACUUCUGAGAAUCUCUCGGGAACAGCACUCGUCCCCAUCUGCAGCCAGACUGAGAAGAGACAAAUGCGAUCAUCCACGUUGGGGAAUCGCAGGUAGCUCCCUGCCAGCCCACCCCAGAACUAAGGAGAAACUAAAAAGGAAUUCGACCUGGCCCAACACCCCAAGGAAGGAGGAGGAUGGGGGGACGUGGCACUUUUUACUUCGGGAUGGGACGCCCAGUGGGUUUCCAGACUUGGUUUGAUACGUCUGUG